UACGUAGGGGGCUAGCGUUGUCCGGAAUCAUUGGGCGUAAAGCGCGUGUAGGCGGCCCGGUAAGUCCGCUGUGAAAGUCGGGGGCUCAACCCUCGAAUGCCGGUGGAUACUGUCGGGCUAGAGUACGGAAGAGGCGAGUGGAAUUCCCGGUGUAGCGGUGAAAUGCGCAGGUAUCGGGAGGAACACCAAUUGCGAAGGCAGCUCGCUGGGACGUUACUGACGCUGAGACGCGAAAGCGUGGGGAGCAAACAGG
rnacentral:rRNA from 1 species